UACGAAGGGUGCAAGCGUUACUCGGAAUUACUGGGCGUAAAGCGUGCGUAGGUGGUGAGUUAAGUCUGUCGUGAAAGCCCCGGGCUCAACCUGGGAAUGGCGAUGGAUACUGGCUCGCUAGAGUGCGGUAGAGGAGAGUGGAAUUCCCGGUGUAGCAGUGAAAUGCGUAGAUAUCCGGAGGAAUACCAGUGGCGAAGGCGGCACGCUGGGCCAUAACUGACGCUAAGACGCGAAAGCAUGGGUAGCGAACGGG
rnacentral:rRNA from 1 species